CAGAAAGUUCCAUCUGAGGAGCCACCGGAAGUUCUGUCUGCUGCACCUUGGCACAAAGCCCAAAGAUCAGACUUCAACAAGCCGGUACCCUCUGCCUCAAAGACCUCUCUGAGUUCCUGGAAAGAUGAAUAAGAACCUGCCAAGCAAUGCGUCAUCCUGUAGAUGCACAAGAACACAGGGGACUGCUGUACUCAGGGGCCGGUGGAGAGUCCCAGGGUGAACUGGCUGCCCCCACUCAGUUCCAGACAGCACUCGGGUGAUAUCUUCAACAUCAGGAUGACACUUUUUCUCUUAAAUGACAUCAGGGAGUUGUAAGGGAGCAGCAAGUGAGUAAUACUUGAAGCCUCUAUAAAAAGAACGUGUAGGGAUUAUGAAAAAUGUAUAUUCUUUCCUGUGUAGAUUACUCCAGCCUAUUUUUGUAGGAGGUAUAGAGGCAGUGACUCUGUUGGGAAGAGCAUAGGCUUUAGAGCCAUGUAAACUCAAGUUCAAAUCCUAACUCUGUAAUUUCCUCAUAUAUAGUCGUGGGCAAAUCAUUUACCAUCUCUAAGCCUCAGUUUCCUAUCUGUGAAAUAAGGACAGUGAUCAUCUUGCAGUGGGGAUUAUUGUAACUGGAUUGGAAGCAAGGUAGAAAAGUCAGCUAGCACAAUGCCGGGUACACAGUAGGUAGUCAAUAAAUGGCAGUUGCAGCUUCUGUUGCCAUUUUAAAUAAAAAUAGUGGCAGUAAUGAAAGUAGUAAGAAAAAAUGGAAUGAUCUGGGAAGGUAUAUUCAGACACUUUCCCCAAUGCCAGAGAAGCAAGUUAAUAGAUUAUGCAGAAAGACCUACAAAAUGUGGUCAUCAGUGUGGGCUGGCCUUUCCUAACCCUCAUUCCUUUUUCUUUCUUUUCCACUGUGGGGACAAGAAAAGCUAAAUAGCCACUUUUCCAGCAAAAGAUUGCCAUAAGAUAUAGUUCUGGCCAAAAAGAUGUGGGCAAAGAGCUUCUUUCUUGAUAAAAACAUGGCUAGUGCAACUUUUACUUUCCUUCCUCCUGCCAUGAAUGGAGGCAUGAGGCAUGGAGCUAACAUGGCCACGUUGUACCCAUGAAGUCAUGAGCCAACGUGGUUAGGGUGUCAGAAGAGAACGAAAAAAGGCCUUAAGUUCUUACCAACAUCGUUGAGCUGUUGCAUCAGCCUUGAGCUGCCUACUUUCAGACUUUUGUGUUUUGUUUUGUUUUGUUUUUUGAGAUGGA
rnacentral:lncRNA from 1 species